GGUUAAGCGACUAAGCGUACACGGUGGAUGCCUAGGCAGUCAGAGGCGAUGAAGGGCGUGCUAAUCUGCGAAAAGCGUCGGCAAGGUGAUAUGAACCGUUAUACCCGACGAUACCCGAAUGGGGAAACCCAGUGUGUUUCGACACACUAUCAUGUCAUGAAUCCAUAGUGACAUGAGGCGAACCGGGGGAACUGAAACAUCUCAGUACCCCGAGGAAAAGAAAUCAACCGAGAUUCCCCCAGUAGCGGCGAGCGAACGGGGAAGAGCCCAGAACCAGAAUCAGUUUGUGCAUCAGUGGAAGCGUCUGGAAAGUCGCACGGUACAGGGUGAUAGUCCCGUACACAAAGAUGCGCUUGCUGUGAGUUCGACGAGUAGGGCGGGACACGAGAUAUCCUGUCUGAAGAUGGGGGGACCAUCCUCCAAGGCUAAAUACUCCUGACUGACCGAUAGUGAACCAGUACCGUGAGGGAAAGGCGAAAAGAACCCCGGCGAGGGGAGUGAAACAGAACCUGAAACCGUGUACGUACAAGCAGUGGGAGCCCCACCACCAAAGCAUUCUCUGGUGAUGAAGGCACCGCAACAGCAGCAUCGCGGUGGCGGCGCGUCUUUUGCGACGCCCAACACACAAGACAAGCGGUGAGUGCUUUGGGGUGGGGUGACUGCGUACCUUUUGUAUAAUGGGUCAGCGACUUAUAUUUUGUAGCAAGGUUAACCGAAUAGGGGAGCCGCAGGGAAACCGAGUCUUAACUGGGCGUCAAGUUGCAAGGUAUAGACCCGAAACCCGGUGAUCUAGCCAUGGGCAGGUUGAAGGUUGGGUAACACUAACUGGAGGACCGAACCGACUAAUGUUGAAAAAUUAGCGGAUGACUUGUGGCUGGGGGUGAAAGGCCAAUCAAACCGGGAGAUAGCUGGUUCUCCCCGAAAGCUAUUUAGGUAGCGCCUCGUGAAGUCAUCUUCGGGGGUAGAGCACUGUUUCGACUAGGGGGCCAUCCCGGCUUACCAACUCGAUGCAAACUGCGAAUACCGAAGAAUGUUAUCACGGGAGACACACGGCGGGUGCUAACGUCCGUCGUGAAGAGGGAAACAACCCAGACCGCCAGCUAAGGUCCCAAAGUCAUGGUUAAGUGGGAAACGAUGUGGGAAGGCCCAGACAGCCAGGAUGUUGGCUUAGAAGCAGCCAUCAUUUAAAGAAAGCGUAAUAGCUCACUGGUCGAGUCGGCCUGCGCGGAAGAUGUAACGGGGCUAAACCAUGCACCGAAGCUGCGGCAGCGACGCUUAGGCGUUGUUGGGUAGGGGAGCGUUCUGUAAGCCGUUGAAGGUGGUCUGUGAGGAUUGCUGGAGGUAUCAGAAGUGCGAAUGCUGACAUAAGUAACGAUAAUGCGGGUGAAAAACCCGCACGCCGGAAGACCAAGGGUUCCUGUCCAACGUUAAUCGGGGCAGGGUGAGUCGACCCCUAAGGCGAGGCCGAAAGGCGUAGUCGAUGGGAAACAGGUUAAUAUUCCUGUACUGGGUGUUACUGCGAAGGGGGGACGGAGAAGGCUAUGUUGGCCGGGCGACGGUUGUCCCGGUUUAAGCGUGUAGGUGGGUGCUCCAGGCAAAUCCGGAGCGCUAUUAACGCCGAGGCGUGAUGACGAGGCACUACGGUGUCGAAGUGACAAAUGCCACGCUUCCAGGAAAAGCCCCUAAGCAUCAGGUAACAUCGAAUCGUACCCCAAACCGACACAGGUGGUCAGGUAGAGAAUACUCAGGCGCUUGAGAGAACUCGGGUGAAGGAACUAGGCAAAAUGGUGCCGUAACUUCGGGAGAAGGCACGCUGUGCGAGGUGAAGUCCCUGGCGGAUGGAGCGUUGCGCAGUCGCAGAUACCAGCUGGCUGCAACUGUUUACUAAAAACACAGCACUGUGCAAACACGAAAGUGGACGUAUACGGUGUGACGCCUGCCCGGUGCCGGAAGGUUAAUUGAUGGGGUAAGCCGCAAGGCGAAGCUCUUGAUCGAAGCCCCGGUAAACGGCGGCCGUAACUAUAACGGUCCUAAGGUAGCGAAAUUCCUUGUCGGGUAAGUUCCGACCUGCACGAAUGGCGUAAUGAUGGCCAGGCUGUCUCCACCCGAGACUCAGUGAAAUUGAACUCGCUGUGAAGAUGCAGUGUACCCGCGGCAAGACGGAAAGACCCCGUGAACCUUUACUAUAGCUUGACACUGAACCUUGAGCCUUGAUGUGUAGGAUAGGUGGGAGGCUUUGAAGCGUGGACGCCAGUCUGCGUGGAGCCAACCUUGAAAUACCACCCUUUGAUGUUUGAUGUUCUAACGUGGGCCCGUGAACCGGGUUGCGGACAGUGUCUGGUGGGUAGUUUGACUGGGGCGGUCUCCUCCCAAAGAGUAACGGAGGAGUACGAAGGUUAGCUAAUCCUGGUCGGACAUCAGGAGGUUAGUGCAAAGGCAUAAGCUAGCUUGACUGCGAGAGUGACGGCUCGAGCAGGUGCGAAAGCAGGUCUUAGUGAUCCGGUGGUUCUGAAUGGAAGGGCCAUCGCUCAACGGAUAAAAGGUACUCCGGGGAUAACAGGCUGAUACCGCCCAAGAGUUCAUAUCGACGGCGGUGUUUGGCACCUCGAUGUCGGCUCAUCACAUCCUGGGGCUGAAGUAGGUCCCAAGGGUAUGGCUGUUCGCCAUUUAAAGUGGUACGCGAGCUGGGUUUAGAACGUCGUGAGACAGUUCGGUCCCUAUCUGCCGUGGGCGUUGGAAGAUUGAGGGGGGUUGCUCCUAGUACGAGAGGACCGGAGUGAACGCACCACUGGUGUACGGGUUGUGAUGCCAAUUGCAUUGCCCGGUAGCUACGUGCGGAAGAGAUAACCGCUGAAAGCAUCUAAGCGGGAAACUUGCCCCGAGAUGAGUCUUCCCUGGGCCUUAAAGGCCCCUGAAGGGACGUUUAAGACGAAGACGUUGAUAGGCUGGGUGUGUAAGCGCAGCGAUGCGUUGAGCUGACCAGUACUAAUGACCCGAGAGGCUUAACCUU
rnacentral:rRNA from 1 species